GUCCCUAUAGUGUAAUGGAUAGCAGAUUGAACUUUUAAUUCAUAGAUCGUGAGUUCAAAUCUCACCUGGGAUG